UCAGCCGCCGCGGUAAUACCAGCUCCUCGAGUGGUCGGGGCGAUUAUUGGGCCUAAAGCAUCCGUAGCCGGUUCCGUAGGUCCUCUGUUAAAUCCAACCGCUUAACGGUUGACCUGCAGAGGAUACCGCGAGACUAGGAGGCGGGAGAGGCGGACGGUACUCCGCGUGUAGGGGUAAAAUCCUUUGAUCCGCGGAAGACCACCAGUGGCGAAGGCGGUCCGCCAGAACGCGCUCGACGGUGAGGGAUGAAAGCUGGGGGAGCGAACCGGAUUAGAUACCCGGGUAGUCCCAGCCGUAAACGAUGCUAGCUAGAUGAUUCAUUCGCAAGUCGCGAAUGAAGUGUCGCAGGGAAGCCGUUAAGCUAGCCGCCUGGGGAGUACGGUCGC
rnacentral:rRNA from 1 species